AAGGUGGGAAAACGGGCCACCGGAGGGCAGCAGGGGAAGGCUCGGGGGCCCGUAUCCUCAGGGGUCGACGACGGCCAUCCCGUCGACCUCGCUCCCGGCGGCAGGAUGCCAGCCGAAGCCUCCAACCUGCGGGGCCGACUUGGGAUCUCACCUUCGCCGUGUGAUCGAUCGCGGGUUCUCCUUGCCCCGCGAUCGCUUCUGCCGACAAGUGCAGCGGUAGUGGGUGACAUGAUCCAUGAGGAAGUAAUGUGGCAAGGAAGCAUUGGUUCACGAGCAAGUAAUGUAGCAGACGAGUAUCCACUUCGAAAAGAAGAUUGGAACUCCAUAGGCCUUUAUUUGUCAUAACUGGGACAACGAGAGCUGGAUUUUCAGCGCCUCCUGGCAGCAGUCUCUCUCUGACAGUUGAAGUAGACAGCCGCCACAGGGAGGCCGAGGUCAUUCUCCGCAGCAAACUGGCGGGUGUUGAAAUGAUCCCUGAAGGAAGGCACAGUUACAGUCUGCCUUCGCUUCUGCUUGAAGAGCACAAAAAUGAACCUGUGGAUGCCUAUGUUCGGCUUUGGGCUCUCAUAGCUUAUAACUUCCCGUCC